rnacentral:rRNA from 1 species
GAGUUUGAUCGUGGCUCAAGAUGAACGCUAGCUACAGGCUUAACACAUGCAAGUCGAGGGGCAUCAGGAAGAAAGCUUGCUUUCUUUGCUGGCGACCGGCGCACGGGUGAGUAACACGUAUCCAACCUGCCGUCUACUCUUGGACAGCCUUCUGAAAGGAAGAUUAAUACAAGAUGGCAUCAUGAGUCCACAUGUUCACAUGAUUAAAGGUAUUCCGGUAGACGAUGGGGAUGCGUUCCAUUAGAUAGUAGGCGGGUAACGGCCCACCUAGUCUUCGAUGGAUAGGGGUUCUGAGAGGAAGGUCCCCCACAUUGGAACUGAGACACGGUCCAAACUCCUACGGGA